AAAAAUAUAGUAUUAAUUAUAUCAUCAAUAAUGCAGAAUAUUCUAUUACUGACGUCCAUGAAGUUCACUCAAGACUACAGAUGUGACUGUUUUGUCGCAAUAUUUGGAUGAUAACACAUCUGCUUCAAUUUUGAAUUUCUAUUGUAGAUGAUAUAUACUAACAGUACAAAUACUGGAUCUGAAAGAAUUUUUCGUGAAUUAUGCGGUCGACGAAAUUGCUUUUGAACAGUUAUUUAGAGUGUAAAGAUCGUUUUCACAAUUCUAAAGUUAAAAAAAAGAUUUUUAACCGAAAUUCUUCAAAUUAUGAAGGAAAAUGGUUAUAGUGAUUUAAAUGAAGAUUUCCUUGAUAGAAAGAUGCGUAAUAUGAAAAAAUCUUAUAAAAAUAUAAAGGAUAACAAUAAUAAAAAAGCUAGCACUGGUCGAGGAACAAAUUUCGUGGAAGUACGUCAAUACUUUUGAAGACAUAUUUGCUAAUGACAUGACGAUAAACGGCAGUUCAACACUUUCUUCGAUGCAAGGAAAUAAUGAAAUAACCGCAAGUGAAUCUUCUCAAGAUGAUAAUGAACCAAUUGAUCCAAGUUCAUUUGGCUGUUCCUCAAGAAAUUCCUCUGCAAGUGUACUAGUCCUUGCACUAGUGUAACGCCAACAUCGGAAUUAUUGCGAAAAGCUACUCGAUGAGUCUAUAUAAACUACGGCAAAGACAAAUCGAAAAAAAACGCAUUGACACCAUGUUACAAUUUAAGUCGUCCAGAUCAGAAUAAUAAAAUUCAAGAAAAGAAAAACAAAUUGAUAGAACAAUUCUUACUUUUGAAGAGCAAUCAACAUAAUG